GAUGAACGCUGGCGGCGUGCCUAAUACAUGCAAGUCGAGCGAACGGACGAGAAGCUUGCUUCUCUGAUGUUAGCGGCGGACGGGUGAGUAACACGUGGAUAACCUACCUAUAAGACUGGGAUAACUUCGGGAAACCGGAGCUAAUACCGGAUAAUAUUUUGAACCGCAUGGUUCAAAAGUGAAGGACGGUCUUGCUGUCACUUAUAGAUGGAUCCGCGCUGCAUUAGCUAGUUGGUAAGGUAACGGCUUACCAAGGCAACGAUGCAUAGCCGACCUGAGAGGGUGAUCGGCCACACUGGAACUGAGACACGGUCCAGACUCCUACGGGAGGCAGCAGUAGGGAAUCUUCCGCAAUGGGCGAAAGCCUGACGGAGCAACGCCGCGUGAGUGAUGAAGGUCUUCGGAUCGUAAAACUCUGUUAUUAGGGAAGAACAUAUGUGUAAGUAACCGUGCACAUCUUGACGGUACCUAAUCAGAAAGCCACGGCUAACUACGUG
rnacentral:rRNA from 1 species